AUAUCAGUCAUGCAUAGCAUAUCAAUAAGCGGAGGAAAAGAAACUAACAAGGAUUCCCUUAGUAACGGCGAGUGAAGCGGGAAGAGCUCAAAUUUGAAAUCUUCAAGGUUUUACCUUGACGAAUUGUAGUUUAAAGAAGUGUUUUCUGUUGAAGUUUUGGUAAAAGUUCUUUGGAAUAGGACAUCAUAGAGGGUGAGAAUCCCGUAUUUGACCAUUACUUUCAGCUUUGUGAUACACUUUCAAAGAGUCGGAUUGUUUGGGAAUGCAGUCCAAAAUGGGUGGUAAAUUUCAUCUAUAGCUAAAUAUUGGCGAGAGACCGAUAGCGAACAAGUACCGUGAGGGAAAGAUGAAAAGAACUUUGAAAAGAGAGUUAAACAGUACGUGAAAUUGUCAAAAGGGAAGCGUUUGACACCAGUGUUGUUUUCUCGAAAAUCAAUUAAAAAGAGUUGGAUUUUGUGUUGUAUUGACUUUAUCAGCUUUCUUCACUCUUUUCCAGCUUUUUUUAAUGCACUUUUCGUUUAACAAGUCAACAUCAGUUUCUUUUGUUGUAAAAAGGUCAUUGGAAGGUGGCUUUCUCUUCGGAGAAAGUGUUUAUAGCCUUUGACUCAUGCAAUCGGAGAGACUGAGGUCUGCAGCGUAGAUCCUUCGGGGUUAGAUACAUUUGUGCUAAGUUAUAGCUUUUCAUAGACAACUUGUUGACUAUGUUUAGUCUUGUAGCUUACUCGCUUAUGCUAUUUUACCUACGCUUAGGAUGUUGAACUCUAUCACACACAG
rnacentral:rRNA from 1 species